rnacentral:tRNA from 1 species
GUGCGAAGGCAACGGUUACUUCCUCUUCCAAAGGAGCAACGCGGGUUCGAAUCCCGCCGCCCA